CCGUGACGCAGCUAACGCAUUAAGUUCCCCGCCUGGGGAGUACGGCCGCAAGGCUAAAACUCAAAGGAAUUGACGGGGACCCGCACAAGCGGCGGAGCAUGCGGAUUAAUUCGAUGCAACGCGAAGAACCUUACCAAGGCUUGACAUACACCAGAACGGGCCAGAAAUGGUCAACUCUUUGGACACUGGUGAACAGGUGGUGCAUGGUUGUCGUCAGCUCGUGUCGUGAGAUGUUGGGUUAAGUCCCGCAACGAGCGCAACCCUCGUUCUAUGUUGCCAGCACGUAAUGGUGGGAACUCAUGGGAUACUGCCGGGGUCAACUCGGAGGAAGGUGGGGAUGACGUCAAAUCAUCAUGCCCCUUAUGUCUUGGGCUUCACGCAUGCUACAAUGGCCGGUACAAAGGGCUGCAAUACCGUGAGGUGGAGCGAAUCCCAAAAAGCCGGUCCCAGUUCGGAUUGAGGUCUGCAACUCGACCUCAUGAAGUCGGAGUCGCUAGUAAUCGCAGAUGAGCAACGCUGCGGUGAAUACGUUCCCGGGUCUUGU
rnacentral:rRNA from 1 species